rnacentral:rRNA from 1 species
UACGUAGGGUGCAGGCGUUAAUCGGAAUUACUGGGCGUAAAGCGCGCGCAGGUGGUUCCUUAAGUCUGAUGUGAAAGCCCACGGCUCAACCGUGGAGGGUCAUUGGAAACUGGGGAACUUGAGUGCAGAAGAGGAAAGUGGAAUUCCAAGUGUAGCGGUGAAAUGCGUAGAGAUUUGGAGGAACACCAGUGGCGAAGGCGACUUUCUGGUCUGUAACUGACACUGAGGCGCGAAAGCGUGGGGAGCAAACAGG